rnacentral:rRNA from 1 species
GACAGAGGGUGCAAACGUUGUUCGGAAUUACUGGGCGUAAAGCGCGUGUAGGCGGCUCGGCAAGUCGGAUGUGAAAGCCCUGGGCUCAACCCAGGAAGUGCACUCGAAACUGCCAAGCUGGAGUCCCGGAGAGGAAGGCGGAAUUCUCGGUGUAGAGGUGAAAUUCGUAGAUAUCGAGAGGAACACCUGUGGCGAAGGCGGCCUUCUGGACGGCGACUGACGCUGAGACGCGAAAGCGUGGGGAGCAAACAGG